rnacentral:rRNA from 1 species
AGAGGUAUCCUUCUGGCAAGGGUACUGUACUAAACUAACUAAAGUGGGGGAUAGUGAGGGGAUAAAUUUUCUUAAGGAACUCGGCAAAAUCCCAAUGGCCCACCAGGGCAUAUUGGAACACGGGCCUCGACUGUUUACCAAAAACAUAGCCCUCGGCUAAUAUGAAAAUAGAUGUAUAGAGGGUGAUGCCUGCCCAAUGGUUGUAUCUAAAAGCGGUUGAUAAAAGUCGACCUCGUAAGGACAAUUGAAUGGCCGCGGUAACACUGACCGUGAUAAUGUAGCGUAAUCAAUAGCCAAUUAAUUGUUGGCCAGUAUGAAUGGCGCCACGAAGGCCCCACUGUCUUAAGGAAAUUCCCAGUGAAAUUGAAUUCGUAGUGAAGAUGCUACGUCCAAUUUGUUAGACGAAAAGACCCCGUUGAGCUUUACUGGAGCACUUACAUGGCCCCGGCCUUCCCAUGCCUGGGAACCGGCCGAAUUUAAAUGGGCGGCUUAGAUUAUGUGGCAGCCCCCCGCUGGGGCAAAUGAAACACCACUCCCCCAUGUCAAAGGGGCUAACCCCCCCCCUUGGGGGGGACAGUGUAAGUAGGACAGUUUGGUUGGGGCGACCGCCUUUUAAAAAGUAACGAAGGUGCGCUUAAGGUGCGCAAUUAAUGACUGAAGCCUGACUGCGAGGGGGACACCCCGAGCAGACACCCCAAAGCCCGCCCGAAGGGCGGCGGUGGGGUGGGCCAUAGUGACCCGUUAAUUUAGAGUGGAAUAGUUAACGAUCAACGAAUAAAAGUUACCACGGGGAUAACAGCGUAAUAUCGUUAGAGAGUUCACAUCGACGACGAUGUUUGCGACCUCGAUGU